UACCUGUCCAGGCCAGCCCUGCCUCCUAUUCACCCACAGAGGGGCUGGUGUCUCAGCAACUCUGCCCAGAAACUGGAAAGAUAAUUGGGUCACGCAAAGAGUGAAUUAUUCCUCCAGAGAAAGUUUUAAAAUGCAUGAGCCCUCAAUGGCAGAGAGGGAGGCAGUUAUGAAGCUAAGAGGCAGUCUUGGAAUUGGAGCCACAGAGUGGCUCCUUCCCUGUGCCUUCCGGGGUUCAGGGAGGAGCUGGACAGGACCCCNNNNNNNNNNAAAAGUCAGGGAUCCGGAAACUAGUGCUGCCUGGAGAAUCCAACAGCAAAAACUGGGGUGAUGUGGUUGUACCACUCUAAGCGGGGCUGGAAGUUGCUUCCCAAUGCUAACAUUAACCUUAACUGAUGAGAUUCUGACCAGCUCUGUCUGGAAGGUUCUGCAUCUCUGCGUGCAGCUGUCACUGUGCCCCUCCCUCCCUCCCAUGGGUGCUGUCCCUGCCUCACCUGGGGUGGCAAUGUGGUUGCACUCUGGCGGG
rnacentral:lncRNA from 1 species